GGGGCAUGUCCAGGGGCAAAAUUCCCUUCUCUGAUCAACACGGUGUCAUCUCAUACUCCUUGAUGGUGACUGGCUGUCUGCUCACUGGAGGUAAGACUUAAAUUCAAAUCAACUUAGACGGUUUUACAACCUGCUAUCAGUGUGGUUCAUUUCCGUUUGUUUAUCUCAAUGCUGUCAUUCUAAGAGAAGUCUAGAGCCCAAAAAAUCACACAUGGAAAUUAUCAUCAUAUUUUGCCAUUUUGCACAGUUUUGUGUUGUACUGCCUAAUAACAUAUACAUGCAAGGGCAGCAUUUUUACACUAGCGAUGUCAUAUCUCUUAUAUCACUGAACAAUCAAAACCAAGAGAGAUGAGACGUCUGGAAUAAGCUUUGUCAACAACAUCAGUGAAGGUCCAUGCAGGAGAAACUGGCCGUACCAAUUUUUUGGAUGGGGUACAAUUUUGAGGUCUGGAGCUGCUGCUAAUGCUCUGAAACUAUUUCGGCUACAUGUGCUAACCUUUUCUGUUCAACACCUUUUGAAUAAAAGCAAAAAUAAAGCAUGAAGUGCAUUAAAACUGUAUUUGUAAUCAGGCAUCACCAUUGCUGAUAAAGUUAUUGGCGAUACCAGCAUAAAACGCCUUCAAUGGACAUAGGCCCUUAUUGUACUUGAGGUGUUCCUAGAGGGAUGGGAUGGUAGGCAUAGUCCCCCCUAUCAGACAUGUGAUUGGCCACUUCUAGGCAAUGAGAAUUAGCCUCAGCAAUGGUGGAACUGAUACCAAAAUAAACUAUUUAGGCCACAGAGCGACACACUGCCAUCAGCUUGAUUGUAAUAAAGCACAUUUUCUCUUGAUAGGUCUUGAAAUUUUGGCAUCCUAUUCUGAGUCACGCUAGAGUAUGACGUAGAGUAGCGUAAGAGUUACGCUAAUGUGUAUAUGUGUAAAUGUUGCCACUCUGCAGUGCUACCGCUAAAUUUGAUGCUCUACAAUGUAACUUUGCGAUAGGGAUGGGAACCAAGAACCGGUUCUUGUUGAGAACCGGUUCCAAAUGGUUCAAUCCACCAACAUCAAUUACAUUUUAUCUUAACGAUUCCUUUCUUUUGAGUGCCUUGAAAAACAGUCUCGCAAGAGCCAGUUAGCGAACGAGAACAGAGGCUUUAAGGAAAAAACAUGGCGGACGGUACGAAAAGUAAGCAGAAACGAUCUAAAGUGUGGCUUUUUUUUACUAAGAAAGACGACAACAGCUUGAUGUGCAACAUUUGUCGAGCAGUGGUAACAUGCAAAGGCUGAAACACCAGCAACAUGCUUAAACAUUUGUCAACAGGGGCAAGGCAUCAACUAUAAAGAGUCACAUAUAUUCAAGGCUCUCCACCGGUUGUUGGCAUGGAAGGUACAUAUGUCCUGUGUUAACAUAAGCACAAUGCAUGCCAGACUUAACAACAUGGUUUGUAUUUGACUUAAUAUCGACCAAAUUAAAUGCUGUACAAAUAGUUUGUCAUUUGACUCUCACUGAAGGUGCCAUAAAUCUUUUUCUGUUAUCAGACUCAAUAAUUUUUGAGUUAACUGUGAAAACCUAUAGUCUACUUUUUUUUUAAUCAAAGAAAGGCAUUGAUAAGGGAGUCGUUAAAGAAUUGAAUUGAUAAGCAGAAUCGAUUAUGUCAUUGAUAUCAAUAAAAUCUUAUCAAUUCUCAUCCCUUGUGUUACUUUUGAUCUGAUACCUUGAUGUAAGCUGUAGUAGCAGAUGUGAUUAGUGAAAGGGCAACUAUAUAAUAUUCAGAUGUAUGUGAAUUAGCACAUACACUUCAUACUGCAUACUUCUGUGGCCCAGUUGGGCCACCCCAGUCCAAAAAGUCAGGACAUGCCCAGCAGCAAGCAGGUUAACUACGAACAAAUAAGGGCCAUGGGGUAAGGCCCUUGGAUCUAGGUCUGCAGCGGAUAGCACUAAUCUAGAAUCAAGCAACAGGGUCAGACAAGGAGAGUGAUUUAGUCCGCCUCUUUUGGCCUCUGCAUCUAGAAGCAUUCGAUUCAUUUUAAACUGCCCAAAAAUAACGAGCAAUCAAGAAAAUGGUUAUUCUCGCAUUUCAAUUAGCCUAAUUAAAGAGAGGGGGCAGCAGGCUACUCUGAAGAAUGGCAUGCACUUCUGUAUGGUGUGUAUUUGUAGGUGUGUGUGUGUAUGUGUGAGAUAGAGCCAGAGCCUCUCCAAGGGGUUCAGCUGGAACACUGCAUCAGCAGUCAGAAUGAGAAAUUAACCGUUUGCUUUCUUCCCUCCACAGCCUGAAGCUGAGACACAAUCUGGUCAGCGCACUGAGAGGAUUCAGAAGCAUACAGCGCAACAUCAGUCCAUCAUCAAUCAUUCAUGACCCUGAUUCUCCAAGUUGGUGUAAAAAUGCUCACCAGUUUUAUGCCUUCGUCCACAGCAGUUUUUAUUUAGAUCAUUUGGAUGUGAAGGAGAUGUUGGCAGUGAAAGGGUUAAGACUAAGUUCAGAAUCCAGUCUAACGGUGAGAGCCAGAUGGUCAUGUAGAGCACUUACAGUGACAUGGGCCUACACAGCUCCCCCUGCUGGAACACCCACCCCCACAUGCGUGCAUGCAUGGAUACACACACACACACACGCACGCACACACAAAAGGAACUCAUUAGCAUGCAAACACUCACAUGAACAUUUCUAGCAGAUAAGAGCACUGUGAUUCCCAGGUCAUUUACCCCCCUCCCCCUUCUUUCUUCCUCAACACUUUUCCUCUUUCUCUCUUUCACUUUCCCACUCCUCCUCUUCUCAUCUCCCUCGGUCUCAGUCUGAUGGCCAGAGUUAAUUGGCUGCUGUCUAAUUGCUGCUCAUUAGCUUGAGUAACCAAACAUGUGAGGCGUAGCAAACAAAACCUUCCUCUGGCUCUCUCUCGUCUCUGCACUAUUUUUUUUCUCAAUUCCCAUUUCAGGUUCCUUUUCUACGCAUUACCUGUUUGUGUUUGUCUCUUCAUCUUUCACUUUGCCGCUUCACUUACCCUGAUAAACUGAAAAACAUCUGAGAAGCAAAGAUGAGUGAGUGCAAAGCAAGCCAAAUAAACAUCGAAUUUUUACAAUAGAACUGCUUUGUAGCUCACCAAACGUUCCUUCUUGUUCUAGUUUUCCACAUAGUGCUGUGUAAUCUUCUCUGCAUGCAUAUAACUCACGCACACUCACGAGAAUAGGCAUAUGCACUACUUUACACACAUCCUAGAAAUCCUCAUAAUGCAUUCAAACACCCACCCACUUGUGCAGACACUCACAUCAGAGGGGCAAGCCUCCUCGCCCACACCCGCUGGCAUUUGGCAGGUUCUCUAUAUUUGGGUAGCGCCCCUCCCAGGAGCCCAGCCUUUGCAAGCCCCCUCCCUACUUAAUCUAUCUUAGAAAAACCUCAGGGGUUUAAUUCCUCUCUCAAGGCAAAGUGCUUUGCUGGCAUGGCAGCCAAAUCCAUACAAGAGUGCAUCAAGCUUUAAAGUGGACAUCUCAACAGCAGCGCAGUUUAGUCGGAGUGACAUGAAAUAUGGAGCAUAGUGUGUCACUGUAGAACAAGAAAGAACAAAAAUUGGUCCAAGGCUGCUGCUUGCCUACAGGGAUGGAGGGAGCCGUGGUGAUAAACACUGCGAGCAGAGUUACACAAUGCACACACACAGGCAGACUGACACACACAUCCGCCCACUCAUGCCCACUUGCAAACCUUGUGAUAUGCCAAGAAAAUUAUUUACUACUCAGGAGCAGGCCCUAAAUGAUUAGAUUAGUCUCCUGGCUCCGUGGGUCUGACGGUGCUGCGACACAGGAUGAGACAUCUCCAACAUAAGAGCUAUGACACAAGAAAUAAAGAACCAGUAAAUAUGAUCAAGUAUAAGAAAGAGGACGAUGGACAAAGUGGGUGACUGGAAUGAACUUCACCAACCUGUAUUGUACCCUACAGCGAGUCACUCGUGUCUCCUACCACGCAGAGUGACGUUUGCAGCCCCCAAAUAUUCAUCACUUUGACAAAAUCAAUCUCCGAGACAAAAAUGUUCUCACUUAAGAAACUCUACCUAUUCUGAGGGGUUCACUUUUAUUGAACCAAAGAAAUGCACACCUUUUCUUUAAGAUCAGCAGUUUUCUGUAGUGAAGCUAAUGUAAAAAGAGCAGCUGUAACCUAGGUUUCUGCAGGAACAGGUUAACGUGGAGUGAUAAACCUACACUAGGAUAUUACCUGAAUAAGCAGCUCUCCUCAACUUAUCAGAGCUUUGUAAAGAGCUUAAGUCCAGCUAAAUUGCUCACAAUGGCUCUCAGGGUGUUGUUUACUGCUACAGCAGGAAGCUCUCUUCACUGAAACUGAAGCAGUCCAUUGUAAGCUGUCUGCUCUGCACUAAAGAGCAGAGUAAAACCUCAACUAGAAUUUACUGUAGUGUAGACUUGGCAACCAAAAACUCAUGUUAAUGUCUAUAAAAAAAACAAGGUAACAGUCUUUUGUGUCUGUAAUUUAGCAUGGCAUUAACAAAGAGUCAUGGGAUGAGGUUUCCCUAAGAUGAAAGGGACAAAUCAGGUUCACCCAUUGCAGCCGAACAUAUCCCAUGAAUCUAUAAGCACAAUUUCAAAUUAGAUGGUGAACUCCCUAACCGUCAUGUAGUCUGAUACAGUGUUGAAUUAUAAUACAAGAACUUUACUUAUCCCCAAAGGAAAUUUCAUUUGUCUGGGAUCUCAGAUAAACCAAGUUAUGAUCUGACUUGUCCAGUGGUGGUAAGGCAGUGGCUCUGUAAGCGUCUUUGAUGUUGGCAUACAGCAGAUCCAGGGUUUGUUUUCUCUGGUAGGACAGUUCACAAACUGUGUGAAUCCAGUCAGGUGAGAGGAGAGGGUGACAUGGUUGAAGUCUCCUUAAAUAAUUAUUAUUAGUGCCUCAGGGUGUUGAGUCUGUAUCCUAACAACAGUAUUAUGCCAAAGUUCGCAUGGAAUUUCAGCUGUUGUCUUGGGUGGGAUGUAAACAAGUAUUGUUAUGAUAUGACUGAAUUCUCUUGGAACAUAAUAUGGCAGAAGAACAACUGCCAACAGUUCAAGAUCUGAACACAACUUCUCCUCGGCAGUUAUGUAUGAAGGGUUACACCAUUUCUGAUUGACAAAUAAAGCCAGACCUCCUCCUUUCUUCUUGCCACUAACUUGAGCAUCUCUGUCUGAUCUUAUGAGAGUGAAACCAGGUAGAGCCACACUGGAGUCCAAGUUGUCUUGAUUCAACCAGGUUUCAGUAAACCACAGGAAACUGCACUCAUGGUAUGAUUUCUCAGUCUUCACCAAUAUCUCCAGCUCAUCGCUUUUGUUGGGCAGAGAGUUGAUGUCUCCUAUGAUGACUGAUGGAAGAAAGGGUUUGUAUCUCCAUUUCCUAGCCUUCAGCUUUGCCCUCACCUUUACACAAGCACGGCAACCACAAAAACACUUCCUGAUUUUUGCAGGAAUUAGAUGUUGUUGUACGGAUUUGCUCUGUCUCAAUGAAAGAAGCUCUUCUCUUGAACAAACUCUUCUCCCAACAGAAAAAUCCAUCAGCAGCUGACAAAAUCCGAUAAAAAUGUGAGAAAGUAGAGCAAAAAUUGCAAAAAUUUAAAGACGCCAGACUUUGCUGCUACUUGGUUGAACACAGGUUUUAGAAAGCAUGUUUGCCUCCAACCUAAAAGGUUGGUGAUCCAUACAAAUGCUAAAAAAGACACAUUUUUAAACUUGAAACAAUCUUUAAAAUGAUGCUCAUGGUGGUUAAGCAUGUUAGCUCGUUAACCAUCUAGCUGGGGACUGGCUAACAGGAAAUCCUCUGUAUCUAGAGUGUCUCAUUUAAACUUAACCUAACGAGGCUGGACCCUUCAUAGAAACCUAGCUUGAAUUGGCACACACCUGUCAUAAAAUAGUGAUUCAGAAAAUGUGUCUGUGGGUCAUUUUGGGACUGCUGGUAAGUAUAUUAUCAAAUACCUAACAGAUUUGUCAUAUUUGCCAAAUUUGUCCUCACCUUGUGCUUUUGCUCUUUAAAGGGCUAAAAUAACUUGAAAAAAGUAGUAAGUGAGUUGGUGUGUUAGCUUGGUUCAGUUUAUUUGGCUACUUGGAGGCAGCAAACUGAGCUUGGGUACUUUAGCAUUUUGUGAAUGCAGCCUUACUUUUUUGGCUACUAGGCAAACAUUCAUUUAAAAUCUACUCUCUGGUCAUUGUCCAUCAACACCUGAGAGAAACAACUCUCUUUUUAGCUGCUGAAUGCUUCCCUGUGUCCACCAGCUUUCUGCUAACUGUGUUUUUCUCUGUCAUGUGCUGGGCUGGUAGUGUAGAAUAGGAAUAAGUCCUUUCACAUAAAACAAUUGUGUGCUAUGGUCAGUAAUGGUUUUGAGGGUAAACUUAAAGAUUAAAGCUUCUAGAUAAUCAAAAGACUGAUGUGAAAAUUGCUAGCUUAAGCUAAGGCAAACUGCAGAGUUGGGGAAUAAAUCUUCCUGGGUUCUCCCACAGGAGCUGUCAUUUUUCCCACCAAUGACUAGCUUUAACUGCUUUGGGGGGGGAACGUAAUCAUAAAUAAAAAUGGGAGAAAAAAAUUAACAUAAUUGUUCAGAAAAGAAUUUGCAUGCUGGGGAAUUAAUUUUUUUAACUCAUUUGGGACCCUACUUUAGGCUGUUCUGAGAGUAGGAGGACAAAAACUCACCAAAUCUUCUAUUAGUAAAUGGAAUUUAGGACAAAAUCUAACAAUACAGGUCUGCCUCUGAGCACAAUGUAUAAAAAUCGAGUACGGGCAUCAGAAGUUUUCAUAGACAGAGAGCUGCCAUGACUCUGCACAUGAUCCCUGAUGUUGCAGCCCCUGGACCUCAGCUGUAACAACUUGUGUAAGGAUGUGUUUUGACCAGAGUCACCAGCAACUGCCACUCAUGUUCACCACAGGACUGAAAGGUUCCUGACUCAAACACAUGCUGCAUAUGUGGGCCUGGGUCCUCUAAAGGGCUCCAGGCUACGGGCAGGGGGCUUGGACAUAAUGUAAGAUCACGGUGAAGAAAAAAGACUGGCCAAACCGUGUUUGCUCGAGGGGCUCUUGGACAGAUGCUGCGACCAUGCAGGCUGGUAGUUGUGCUGCAGAGAAAGAAGAAGCUAUCUGAGAAAGGAAGGAACAAGAUAGAUAAAUUUGGCUUAAAGAGAGAAAAUUAAAUUCUCUGAUGAGGAAUUACUGUGGACGAUGGAGGUGGCUGAUGGGUGAGGGGGAGUCAAAAACAACAUCAACAAAGAAUAGCAGUAUAAGAAAGUGAGAGACAGCUAGAAAAAGAAAAAGAGAGAGGGAAAAAGAGAUAGAGAGAGAGGUGGGCGAUUGGCCUUAUGAGAGAGUUGUCAUGGUAACAACUGAUCAUGAUGAGGUUGAGAAUGAUCAGAGAGGACUUUUGGAAAGAAAGUGCAAAUACAUACAGAAGAUACAUAACCCCACUGGACUUGAGGCACCAAUACGAGAUGAAAUUAUGUAAGAAUUGGCAACAUGGGAUGGAAACCAGUUCAAAAGUUUGCUGUUAUGGUUGACUUUCAAACUUCAUAUUUAACAACCAUUCAAUUUACAUCUGAUUAAGCUGAAGCACAGCAUAGCAGCUCUCAGGAGAAAUAUGGUUUCAUUAAAUAAUCAAAGGUGGUUUCAUAAAUAAUGUGGGGGUUGUUUGUGCUAAGCUUUAUUGCAAAAUAAUACGGCUGCAAGUUCAACCAGAUGAUCUUUGUAUAUAUUAAGUUACAGGCUUUUUGAAUCGUCUGUAUAAAUGGCAGAGUGGCUUGAGGAUAUAUGCGUUAUUGAAUCAGGUAAAAGCCUUGUUGAGAUUAAAAUCUUCAUUUUCUCAAGAGUGAGCCAGGAGAGCAUCAUAAAAACUGUCGCAGCAAAAACACAAACAACACAAACAGGUUACACACUAAUGAAACUGAAGUCUAGUUAUUAUACAGUAAGGGGCUGAGACAGUCAGAAACUGUUUAUAAUGCACAAGCAGCUACAGUCUUCUAAAAUGAUUUCAAUAAAGCAGAAAAUAAGUUUUGAUAGGGGCAUAAUGCCCCAGACAUAUUGUAUAUGACAAAAAUAAUUAGGUGAUAUUUUAUUUAAAAUACUUAACAGGUUGUAAAAUCUUGGUGCCAGAAUUUUUUUGGGGAAAUGCUUCUUUGGCACUGAAGCGUAUUUGUUGUCCAUUUACACCCUCUUUCACUAUACAACAUGGGCCCUAUCUCGUGACUGCUUGAGGAGAUGUGCAGCACGCAGUUCAAGUGCUUUUACGUUUAGAAUUGGGGAUUGUGUUGUUGCUUUAAACUGAGAAAAAUGUAAAUACAUUUAACUAAUAUUUAUGACCUGGUUGUGGUACGGCCAUAUUUCUGAUUGGUCAAACCUUGUACAAAGGUCUCAAGAGCAAAAGCAGCCUGAUCACACAUAUCAAAUCCAAUCAUUUUGCAGAAUAAAGUUUUGUAAAUUUUACCUGCUCCCUGUUGUGGCAGAAAAAAAGGUGAACAAAGUGGCAAAAAUGGAAAUUUCCAUCUAAGACUAGUCUUGACAGUCUGAAAAUAACGACUUCUACUGUGCACAGAUGCUGGAUGCAAACCAUCUCCGAUUGGGAAAAUGGAGUAAGAUUAUGUCCUGCAAUCUGGGCAAUGUCAGCAUAAACGGUCAGUUUAAUUAGAUUCAUGUUUUAACUUGACUGUGAAUGGAAAUCUUCAUUUUGAUGUUAAUGUUAAUUAAUUUGAUGUUAAUUAAUUUGUUCUGCAAGAUGGCUGAACAGACUCUAAUCACUUAAUUAUUUUUUUAUUGAUGAAACCACCUUCAAAUCAUUAUCUCAAGUCAGUUUGUUUAUGUGUUUAUUUUAUAGCAGGGUAAUUAGUGGGACAAGAUGAGACCCAGGAUAUACACAGAUAAUAAGUGGGAUCAAGCAGCACAUUUAUGGUUUGUUUAAAAAAAUCAGUAUUGCCAAAGUCCAGCUGAAACUGGACUUCUAAAAACAUAUGAACAUGUUAGACUGUUUAUGCACUAAAUCAAAUUUCUCAUAGUCAGAACACAUCUGGAUAAUGAGGUUGGGUCAUGUAUGCUGCUCAAUCGAGCUGAAACUGGCCUAAGCGUUCUGUGCAUGUUCUUGUGUUUGCACGCCAGGCUAUGAAGUUAAAUAGCACGAAUGCAUUACUAGAAAGUGAGGUAGUAAACAAAACCUAGACAGAUGAAGAAAGGAUGCCACCCACCAUAGCAGAGGAGGACAUAUUUCAGUUGAUAAUUCCAGUCUUCUCCAGUGUAUAUAUACUGGGACAAGGACAGUAAUCCAGUGAGAUCACCUAAUUAAACUUUAACAGUAGCUUGACUUAACCAUUCAUGUAAAUGUGCUAAGGAAGAGACGGCCCCUUCACUUUGCAGUGGAGCCCUGCUUACCCUUUUGGGACUGUAGUUUGAUAACCACCAGUUUACUUAACAUUAUUCAUGACUUCACCAUCACCACAAUCUCCACAAAACCGUCUCUAUUCUUACACUUGCCUGAGCAUACACCUAUUUUGUAGAGUUUAAGGCCAACACUUAGUGUACAAGUCCCAACCAAAGCACAACAUCAUGAUUAUGACAAAGCAAUAAAUGAAUUUGUUCAUUCCCCUUACAUUAAUAAAGCAUGGUUGUGGCAUUCGAUCCAGGAAAGAAUAAGGUUCUCUGAUGCAGCGUGUUUUGUAGGAAAUGAAUUAUUAAUAAAGGUAAAAUAAUUUACUCGUUAAAUUGGACCUCUUUGACUCAUACAGUGUUUCAUAACUGUUAAAAAAGUUUACCAGAGAUUCAAAAGUGAUACCACAUAGUUGUUGCUUGCUUCUUACUCCUGGUUCGACAGCUCCCUGUCUUAUUGUUUUGCCACAGGUCUUUCUUGGCUGAAGUUAAAUUCUAUCUAUGCUCUGCUUUGUUGGUGCUGCUGAGAAAAUAAAACUUAGUGAGCUAUGGGCAACUUUGACUGUCUGUCCCUUUUGGCAAGACAAGACUGAACAGACACACAUAGACAGGACUUUUUAAAUAAUGUUUGUGUCUGUAUGCUUUGUCUUGCUUCGCUUAGAGGGACAACCUCCUCUUCCCUUGUGAGUCGAACUACAGUCUUGACUGAGUUUGGGAGCAUGGACGUCUCAAAGGUGAAAACUAUGCUGUAGAAAUCAUACUAAAAUGAAGGUAUGUAUUUCUCUCCAAGAAAUGUUGUCAUAGCAACGCCACAGAAAAUUCAACAAGAAAACAAGGAGGAAGAAAAAUGUGUAUGUUUGUUGUAUGUGGAGGUAUUGUUAAAAUUAGAGCUAAAAUGAGAUUUGCAAAUAUCGAUUUUUCUUUCUGAUUGCUCUUUUAAAGAGGGGGCAUUGUACUUUUCCAUUUUUAAAAUAUUGAUAGAUAAAUAUAUAUAUAUUAAUAUAAAGGUGCAAGGUUAGGUGUCCAUUCUUAACAGAUGCAAAUUUCAGAUUGCAAGGUAAAUGUAUUUUAUAAUAAUCCUAGAAUCUGGCUGUAAACUGCUCACAACUAUUAUUAUAAUAUUAUCUUCCCAGGAUACCUGUAACACUUACCGAAGCAAUGAGGUCAUUGCAUACGGCUCUAACUUGAAAUGUUGCAGGAAAUACCUCAUUUCCUUAUAAGCUGCCCAUUUAUUUAAAGCUGUAAAAUGACAGAGUAAUGAUGAAAUGGUGGUGAUUUGUAAGAUUCCCCCCAAA
rnacentral:lncRNA from 1 species